UACGAAGGGGGCUAGCGUUGCUCGGAAUUACUGGGCGUAAAGGGCGCGUAGGCGGCGCAUUUAGUCAGGCGUGAAAGCCCUGGGCUCAACCUGGGGACUGCGCUUGAUACGGGUGUGCUAGAGGACGGAAGAGGGUCGCGGAAUUCCCAGUGUAGAGGUGAAAUUCGUAGAUAUUGGGAAGAACACCGGGGGCGAAGGCGGCGACCUGGUCCGUUACUGACGCUGAGGCGCGACAGCGUGGGGAGCAAACAGG
rnacentral:rRNA from 1 species